rnacentral:rRNA from 1 species
UACAGAGGUCCCAAGCGUUGUUCGGAUUCACUGGGCGUAAAGGGUGCGUAGGCGGUCGGGUAAGUCUGACGUGAAAUCUCCAAGCUCAACUUGGAAAUGGCGUCGGAUACUAUUCGGCUCGAGGAGUGGAGGGGAGACUGGAAUUCUCGGUGUAGCAGUGAAAUGCGUAGAUAUCGAGAGGAACACCAGUGGCGAAGGCGAGUCUCUGGGCCGAUACUGACGCUGAGGAGCGAAAGCGUGGGGAGCGAACAGG